CAGCCGCCGGGAAUACGUAGGGUGCAAGCGUUAAUCGGAAUUACUGGGCGUAAAGCGUGCGCAGGCGGUUAUAUAAGACAGAUGUGAAAUCCCCGGGCUCAACCUGGGAACUGCAUUUGUGACUGUAUAGCUAGAGUACGGCAGAGGGGGAUGGAAUUCCGCGUGUAGCAGUGAAAUGCGUAGAUAUGCGGAGGAACACCGAUGGCGAAGGCAAUCCCCUGGGCCUGUACUGACGCUCAUGCACGAAAGCGUGGGGAGCAAACAGGAUUAGAUACCCGCGUAGUCCCUGUCUCUUAUACAC
rnacentral:rRNA from 1 species